rnacentral:rRNA from 1 species
UACGUAGGGGGCAAGCGUUGUCCGGAAUCAUUGGGCGUAAAGAGCGUGUAGGCGGUUCGGUAAGUCCGCUGUGAAAGUCCAGGGCUCAACCCUGGAAUGCCGGUGGAUACUGCCGGGCUAGAGUCCGGAAGAGGCGAGUGGAAUUCCUGGUGUAGCGGUGAAAUGCGCAGAUAUCAGGAGGAACACCGAUGGCGAAGGCAGCUCGCUGGGACGGUACUGACGCCUGAGACGCGAAAGCGUGGGGAGCAAACAGG